rnacentral:rRNA from 1 species
GGGGAAUAUUGCACAAUGGGCGCAAGCCUGAUGCAGCCAUGCCGCGUGUGUGAAGAANGCUCUAGGGUUGUAAAGCACUUUCAGCGAGGAGGAAAGGUUGACGAUUAAUACUCGUCAGCUGUGUCGUUACUCGCAGAAGAAGCACCGGCUAACUCCGUGCCAGCAGCCGCGGUAAUACGGAGGGUGCGAGCGUUAAUCGGAACUACUGGGCGUAAAGCGUGCGUAGGCGGCUGCCUAAGUUGGAUGUGAAAGCCCCGGGCUCAACCUGGGAACUGCAUCCCAAAACUGGGCAGCUAGAGUGCGGAAGAAGA